rnacentral:rRNA from 1 species
GACAGAGGAUGCAAGCGUUAUCCGGAAUGAUUGGGCGUAAAGCGUCUGUAGGUGGCUUUUUAAGUCCGCCGUCAAAUCCCCAGGGCUCAACCCUGGACAGGCGGUGGAAACUACCAAGCUGGAGUACGGUAGGGGCAGAGGGAAUUUCCGGUGGAGCGGUGAAAUGCGCAGAUAUCGGGAGGAACACCGGUGGCGAAGGCGGUUCUCUGGGCCUCCUGACACUGAGGAGCGAAAGCGUGGGAGCGAACAGG